rnacentral:miRNA from 1 species
AAUUUGAAGCAUGAUGUCAAG